rnacentral:rRNA from 1 species
CGNAGCCUACCANGCAGUCGUACGAGAGUUUUUAACUCUAGUGGCGGACGGGUGAGUAACACGCUGAUAAAUUACCUUUAGGAGGGGGAUAACAAUUGGAAACGAAUGCUAAUACCCCAUAUGCUUUCGAGUGAAAUGGAUUUAUAUUUAUUCGCCUAGAGAGAAGCUCGCGGCUGAUUAGCUUGUUGGUAAGGUAAGAGCUUACCAAGGCGACGAUCAGUAUCUGGUUUGAGAGGACGAUCAGACACACUGGAACUGAGACACGGUCCAGACUCCUACGGGAGGCAGCAGUGGGGAAUUUUCCGCAAUGGGCGAAAGCCUGACGGAGCAAUACAGCGUGAGGGAAGACUGCCUAUGGGUUGUAAACCUCUUUUUUCAGGGAGGAAUAAAUGACGUGUACCUGAAGAAUAAGCAUCGGCUAACUCCGUGCCAGCAGCCGCGGUAAGACGGAGGAUGCAAGUGUUAUCCGGAAUCACUGGGCGUAAAGCGUCUGUAGGUGGUUUAAUAAGUCAACUGUUAAAUCUUGAGGCUCAACCUCAAAAUCGCAGUCGAAACUAUUAGACUAGAGUAUAGUAGAGGUAAAGGGAAUUUCCAGUGGAGCGGUGAAAUGCGUAGAUAUUGGAAAGAACACCGAUGGCGAAAGCACUUUACUGGGCUAUUACUAACACUCAGAGACGAAAGCUAGGGUAGCAAAUGGGAUUAGAUACCCCAGUAGUCCUAGCCGUAAACUAUGGAUACUAGAUGUUGAACAGAUCGACCUGUGCAGUAUCAAAGCUAACGCGUUAAGUAUCCCGCCUGG